UUGAUCCUGGCUCAGGAUGAACGCUGGCGGCGUGCCUAAUACAUGCAAGUCGAGCGAACAGAUGAGAAGCUUGCUUCUCUGAUGUUAGCGGCGGACGGGUGAGUAACACGUGGGUAACCUACCUAUAAGACUGGGAUAACUCCGGGAAACCGGGGCUAAUACCGGAUAAUAUUUUGAACCGCAUGGUUCGAUAGUGAAAGACGGUUUCGGCUGUCACUUAUAGAUGGACCCGCGCCGUAUUAGCUAGUUGGUAAGGUAACGGCUUACCAAGGCGACGAUACGUAGCCGACCUGAGAGGGUGAUCGGCCACACUGGAACUGAGACACGGUCCAGACUCCUACGGGAGGCAGCAGUAGGGAAUCUUCCGCAAUGGGCGAAAGCCUGACGGAGCAACGCCGCGUGAGUGAUGAAGGUCUUCGGAUCGUAAAACUCUGUUGUUAGGGAAG
rnacentral:rRNA from 1 species